GGGAGGAGCUCUCUCCUGCCCCAGGCAAAGGGCUGAUUUCCUGAGUACACAUUAAUCUGAGCUCCCUCAGCCCUAGGGGUAGGGGGAUUGGGGGCACAAGAUGGGUGGAGCCAGAUAGGGAAGAUUCCCCCAGUGUUGUCCUGCUCCCAGUCCAGGUUUGGGACAAUGCCGGCAGCGUUUCCCUGUGUCUUUCCCCCACAAAGUCUCCAAGUCUCUCCUCAAAUGAGCUCCAAGGCUUGGGAGAAACAAUCUCUUCCUCUGCCCGGGUUGCGUGGAUCUCCAGUGGAAAGGAAGAACCGGAACUAUGAUUUGUGCCUUCCUUAUUGCCUCCGAAAUAUUUUUAACUGCAGAGGAAAGCCUGUAUUAUUUUGGAGAAAGGCGAACAGAUAAAACGCACAGCAGUAAAUUUCAGGGACUAGAAACUCCUUCUCAGUAGAGACAAGGUUUCACCCUGUUGGCGAGGCUGGUCUCAAACUCCUGACGCCCAGUGAUCUGCCCACCUCGGCCUCCCAAAGUGCUGGGAUUACAGGCGGGAGCCACCAUGAUGGCCAACUUUUGAAUUCUGAACCAGUUGAUUGAGUACCAGAGCUCUUCAAUACCUUGAAGAAAGAUUCAGGGGAGAGCCGUUGUGAACAGCUUGCCCCAGGGAAAGGACAAGGCUGAGAGAAUUCCAGGGCUUCCUUGAGAAAACAGAAUUGAGGAAAUGCAAAGUGAAGAAUUCUAGCAUCAGGAACAAGAGAAGAAUGAUGGAAAACCUGCUACUGAGAUAUGUUGGAUAUUUUGCACAAGUGAAACAUCUCUACAACUGGAAUCUCCCUCCAAGACGGAUACUCUUUAUAAUAAGAUUCAUUAUUUAUUCGAUUCGUGAUACUGCAUGACAUUGAAACAGCUGGUGUAUUAACUAAUGUAUAUGACAGUCCAUCUCUGUACGAUGAUGUGAAAGUGCAGUUUUUCUCUUCGAAUCUUCCUAAAUACUAUGACAAUUGUUCAUUUUUCUUCUGGUUCAACACAUCUUUUAUUCAAAAUAACAGGCUUUAUCUACCAAGAAAUGAAUUGGAUAAUCCACAUCAACAAAAAGCAUGGAAAAUUUAUCCACCAGAAUUUGCCGUGGAGAUACUUUUUGGCGAGAAAUGACUUCCAAUGACGUAGCUGGAUCCGAUUAAGUAUAGUUUCCCCUUCCCCUUCUGGGAAAGAAUUAAUGUUCUUUCCAACCCCUGCCAUGUGCAUGUUCAUAUGUCCUAAGUCUUCCUUGAUGAUGUAUCUAUAUUUAUAUAUGUUUAUAUAUGUUCUUCAUAAAUCUAUUAAAUAUAUAUAGAUAAAA
ensembl:lncRNA novel transcript